rnacentral:sRNA from 2 species
CCAAGCUUUGAGCCAAAUUCCUUGGUACCGGGAAACGGGGGAACCGUUUUGGGUGAAUUGAUCUUGUUUCGGAGGGAUCAUAGGGGAAUACCUUCUACCGAAUCCUUAAGCUAACCUCGUAGGCAAUUGGAAGGGGACAA